rnacentral:rRNA from 1 species
GACGUAGGGCGCGAGCGUUGUCCGGAUUUAUUGGGCGUAAAGAGCUCGUAGGCGGUUCAGUUAGUCGGGUGUGAAAUCUCCGGGCUCAACCCGGAGGGGCCACCCGAUACUGCUGUGACUCGAGUCCGGUAGGGGAGUGGGGAAUUCCUGGUGUAGCGGUGAAAUGCGCAGAUAUCAGGAGGAACACCGGUGGCGAAGGCGCCACUCUGGGCCGGUACUGACGCUGAGGAGCGAAAGCGUGGGUAGCAAACAGG